rnacentral:rRNA from 1 species
ACGGUGGAUGCCUUGGCGAUGAGAGGCGAUGAAGGGCGUGGACAGCGACGAAAUGCUACGGGGAGCCGCUCACAGGCUGUGAUCCGUAGAUGCCCCGAAUGGGGAAACCCACCUUGCCGUGAGGCACGGUACCGCUUGCUGAAUACAUAGGCAAGACGGAGCCAACCUGGGGAAGUGAAACAUCUCAGUACCCAGAGGAAAAGAAAUCAAGACAGAGACUCCCUUAGUAGCGGCGAGCGAACGGGGACCAGGCCAAACCCAGGGUAGUGAUACUCUGGGGGUUGUAGGGCCCAUGACAUGGCAUGAGCAACGCGAGACGAACAGGCAUGGAAAGCCGGCCAGAGCGGGUGACAGCCCCGUAGUCGUAGUGGCGCGAAGCCUAGUGGGUACCUGAGUACCGCGGGACACGUGAAAUCCUGUGGGAAUCCGGCGGGACCAUCCGCCAAGCCUAAGUACUCCUCAUCGACCGAUAGUGAACAAGUACCGU